AUUUUGCAUACAUGUCAAUCAAUGCAGUACCCAACACUGGAUUAGCCAAGAACUCAUUUCUAUCCAUCAAAUUGCUACCCCAGUCCCCUAAUUCUAGUGCUCCUAACCUUGCACAAGCACAGAGAAAUCCAACCAUCGAAUAGCGAUCAGGUUUCAAACCUUCAUUCAACAUCUUAAAAAAGAGGUCCAGGGCUUCUUUAGGCAGCCCAUUGGAAGCAUAACCCUGAAUCAUGGAACUCCAGGAAACAAUAUCCUUCUCUGCCAUCCUAUCAAACAUAAAACGCGCUUUUUCCAUAUUUCCAUACUUGGCAUACAAAUCCACCAAAGAAGUAGUGACAAACAUGUUCCUUGCCAUGCCAAUCCCUGUUAUAUAUCUAUCUAUCCAAUCUCCACUUUCUGUGUCCCCAAUUUGAACGCAGGCAGACAGGACCCGGACAAGAGUGAAACUGUCUGGCCUCAAACCCAUCUCCAACAACCUACGAAACAUAUCAAUGGCCUCCCUACAUUUGCCUACACCUGUGUAUCCACUUAUUAUCGCAGUCCACGACACAAUAUUUUUGUCAGGAAUAUCAUCAAAUACCCUAAAGGCAUGUUCUAAAUACCCGCACUUAACAUACAAACUAACUAAACUGGUAUUAAUAAACACAUCGGAAUCAAAACCCACUUUAACCACAAACGCAUGCAAAAUUAUUCCCAACUGAAAAUGGGAAAGCCUCGCGCAUGCCUUUAGGACGAAGGGGAAAGUGAAAUUAUUAGGUAAAAAUCCUUCUCUCCUCAUUGAAUGGUAAAAAUCUAUAGACUCUGUAAAGCAAUCAUUAGAAACUAAGCCACGAAUCAUGGUAUUCCAGAGGAAAAUAUUGGGUUGUUUGAUUUGGUUAAAGAGAAAGCGAGUGUAGGAUGUAUCACCAAAAUCAAAGCUGAAGCGCAAGAUCAUGUUCAGGAGAUAGUUGUCCUGGUCGAGGCCGAGGCGGAGAAGUACUGCGUGGACAUGCUGGAGCUGUUUGAGGGAAUCAAAACCUUGAAGGAGACGUUUCUUGAGGUCUAAAGCCUUGCUCAACGAAAGAGACGUUGGGCUCGCGAAGAUGGUCAUGGUCUAUUUCCCCUUCGAUAUUAUUUUCAAACUGAACGGCUAUUUAUUUAGGGUUUUUUUGCUUUUUUUUUGGCGGGUACAAUAUGGCCUCUGUAUUAAUAUCCUUAGAAAGAACAGUAUUCCGAUUCGCAUGAAAUAUUUAUUAGCUUGAAUUAAGAUUUUUU
rnacentral:misc_RNA from 1 species